rnacentral:other from 1 species
AAAUGUCUGCGAGGCCCGUCACCGAGUUACGAUGAUUGAGCCAACGCCGUUGAAAUGGGAGACCGAUGCCGCUUGCCAGUGCACUUCUUCAGCGUUAAGAAUUGCCAGAGGCUGCGGCUUUCAAAAGGUCACCCACCUGUACAUGCAGGUUCAAUUACGGCUUCGGAACGACCAUUGCGGAUAUCCC